CUCGAAAUAGGUAUAGUUCUUUCUUUCUAUUGACCUUCUUUUUUGCUUCAUUACUUCUCUUUUGUGUGUAGGGUUUAUCGAUUUUGCAAAUGAGGCAGAUGAGAGGGCCAAGGAAGCGGAUAUUCGGGUCCACGAAUUGGAGGAGCAGAAUAAGUUGCCUGAGGAUUCUCAUCUCUACGAGUACCGAUGCGAGAAACAGAUGGCAAAUUAAUUUCUUCACCAAAUUUUCUUAAUCUUUUUAACACUUAUGUUGUUCACCUCUUAUUGAUUGUAUGAUUAAUUGUGAAAUUACCUCUGUGGGAUUUGGAAAUUUAUUAAAAGCCAUAGGUUUUGUAGGGCUAACUAACCAAAUAAGUGAUUUUGGGUAAAGGGAAAAUAUGAAGAAAGCAAAUUGAUCUUACUGAGCCGUGUAUUAUAUAAUUCCCUUGUUUUUUUUUUCCUUGAGAGACUUGUUAAUUUAGAAAAAUGGAAACUUGGAUGAUGGUAAUACAUCCUGAAAAUCAAAGUUCUUUUCAAUGAUAGAAUAGUGUCACCCACUCAACUUUGGGCUGCAUGAGUUUCUAGGACAUUUUUGGAUAAAGUAUGAACUAAGUGGGCAUGAAAAUGGAAAAUGAAUAUUAGUAAUACUGGAAGGAGAUGAAGAUGAAAAUGGAAAAUGAAUAUUAGUAAUACUGUCUGAACUUUAUGAUCCUCUUCUCUAACAUCAAUCUUUACUGCUGAGGAAUUCUGUUAUUGCUGCCGGCCUAUUCUGAAUAUGUGACUUCUUUCUGUUUUAAAUUUGCUACUUUUAUGUCGUAACUUUGAACUUUGCUUCAGAAUCUUCUCUUCCAGUUAUAUUUUGCGGUUUAUGACUUUCUAGAUUGAUUAACAUAGAAAAUAGAUAAACUAUACAGUUAACAACUGGUUGAGGAUGUAAACGCUUGACAAUGGGAGAAUGUAGUUUCAAAAUCAAAGAAAAUCCUUUGGUAACAAUUUAUAUCUCAUUUGGCCUAAUAGAAGUUUCGUUUGUAGCCAUUUGAAAUCAUAAAUUACUUUGUAUUACAAGUAACGUUUCUUUAAUUUUUCUGUCAUUUUUUAAGUUUCAAGAUUCAUGUAAUGAAUUUUCUGUUUUCAUUGGAACAUGAGGGGAAAUUGUGAUUAAUUCAGAGUUAUGACAUGCGUGUGCAGGCCCAUUCGUUUGUUUACCUCCUGUGGGAAGUCUUGUGGUCUAUUUUCCUCAAGGUCAUAGUGAACAAGUACGUCCUUUCUCUCCUUUCUCUCUAUUUCGAGAAAUAUUGUAAAUUUUCACACGAUAUCUGAUAUGUACUUGUAUAUAUUCUAUUUGUAGGUGGCAGCAUUGAUUCAAAAGGAGGCUGAGAGCAUCCCAAGUUAUCCAAACCUUCCGUCGAAGUUGAUCUCCAUGCUCCAUAAUGUCAAUUUACAUGUAUGAACACUUCCAUAGUGCAACGGAAACUUUUAAACAUUUUUUUCUCCGUGUCGAAAUUUAUUUUCUUCUUGGGUUUUAUACUAGAUAAGUACUUGAUGAUCGUCAAUUUGAUCUACUAUGCAAUAAAUCAAUAUCAAUAAUGAUGUUCAAUUUGAUCUAUCUAUGCAGUAAGUCAACAUCAGCGAUAUUUAUCUUCAAUGGCUUUAGUUGUUAUUUGACUGGAUCAAUCUUAUGUUUCUUUAUCCUCUCCUCAGUAAGUUUUUUCCCCUGCCUUCCUUUUCAUGGUACUUCAAUUUGUGAUUUUUGGCUCUUUAAGAGAGAAUAUGGAUGGGAUCAUUUUACUGUAUUUCAAGAUUUUUAUGGUGAUGAGUUUCUGGUUCAUGCCCCAAUGUUCUCUCUUUUCACAUGUGAAAAAGGAUCUUGUUUUCUUGCUGUCGUUUUUGCUGUCUCACAUCUGCUUGCAGAGUCAACCACUUGAUGGUGGCUGUAUAUGUAGUUGUACAGGCAGCUGUUCCAUCUUUAAUGUUUGUGUUGUUUCCCAUUUCAGCAUCUUGUCAGUUAUUGCUUUGACAUGUAUGAUUCACAAUUUAUGUUUAAUGUGUGUGCACAUUAUAUUGUAUUUUCACAUGCCUAACAAAUGGGGGGGGAAAAAAAAGUGCUAGCAGAUUUUGACAAUACUGUGAGUUAAUUUGUUGUACUUUAUAGUUAGGAGUUGUUUCAAAAAGUUCUCCAUAAAAAGGUUUGUGGAUUUAGAUAAAAGAUGGUGAAAUGUGUCACAUGUGGUUGAAAAGUUGAUAAAAGUUGUGUGUUCCAUGAUAUUAUGGUUAAAAUCAAUUUUUUAGCAACAUUUUUUGCUUUCCUGAACAAGCACUUUGUAGAUAAGCAUUUACUAUCCCCUUACGUAUUAGACUGCAAAUAAUUCUCUUUCUUUCCUUUUCUUUUGUCCCGUCUGUAUUUGUUCCUUUUGGCAUAAUUAUUUUCGUUCAAUCAGUGCAAGCAAUAUGAGAAGGACCUAAUGGACAUGAUCGAUAGAGAAGUGGAUGGAAGUGAUAGUCUUGAGGGGAUUUGUUCUGUGCCAUUCAAUUGCUAGUGGUACAAGCUAAGGUUUCCAAAUCCUAUCACAUUGUGCAAAUUUUCUAUGUAAAUUCCAAAAUAUGAAUGUCUUGAUUCAUAUUUGAUUUUCAUAAGAAUAUGAAACUGGUUUUGUACUGUUCACGGAAGGACAGGUCAACUGCACUGUAGAGGCCCAAUUUAUUCUCUCUGCUUUCACUGUAUAUACUCAAUGUAUCUAUCUCUUCCUUUUCAUUUCUUCCCCCAUUUAGCCAUCCUUGUUGACUAUAUAAUAGUUAUUUGCUUUCCAUGUAGCCACCAUUCUUUCUAGCUACAGUGGUUCUGCAUUGUUCAUUAAAUGAUCGCCCUAACAAAGCGUCAUUUCUUCCAUCUCUAAACCCUCUUUUUUCUUUCCCGAAUUUCAAUCCCCAUUCCCAACACACUUUAAUUCCUCCUACAACGCUAAAAACCCUUCAAUUAAUUUCAUCUCUCCAGGAAUGAGCUGGCUGUACAAGCUUAGAUUUGGUGUUCUUAACUCCACCGACUCCAUGUGGAUUCCUCUUUCGAUUCUUCCAUAGCGCAUGGGACUAGACGAUCAUGUACUCGCUCUGAGCCAUCAGUUCGUGCAAUUCGAAGGAGGUAGAGAAUAUAGUAUUGGCUUCCUCCAUUGCAAUUUAUUGUUGAGUUUUUUUAAAACAGUAUUUAAUCGUAUCCCCAAGAAAAAUUUAUGAAUUUCAGUUCAGAAAUUUGAGAAAAAAUGUGAAGUUUAGGUUUGCUUUCAUCUUAAAUGUCUUAAAAGUUUGUUCUUAUUGGCAAAAAGUUUUAAAUUUCUGCAUUUAUUUAAUUAAGCUUGCUCAUUUUUAUCACCGGCAAAACUAAGAUUUCAGAUUUUGGGUGUGGUGUGGGGCUGAGCAACAUAGGGAAGCAGCAAUGCACAAAGGUCACUCAGAUUAAAAGGCUAAUUGCUAGAAACUGGUGAAUAUAAGCACAAGGAAGAUUUGGAAAUGCUUAUAAAUUUAGAGCUGGGGAAGUUAAAUUAUGUUGAGAACGAGUUCCGGAAUUAUGAAUAUAUUGUAAGAAAAAAUAAUAAAUGAGAUUGUAUAUAAAAUAAAAAGUGGAGCAAUUUGAUUGAAUUAUGCCACUAUGAGUUUUAAUUUUUGAUUUCUUUUAUUUUUUGAUUGUCAAAUUUGUCGACGAAUAAAUGAAACAUAGGAUUGAGUUGAGUAUGACGUGGAGAAAUGUGACUAGAGAGCUUGAAACAUUGACCUCUUGAAAAUUAACUUUUGAGAACGUGAAAACUUCCAACUAGAAAGUAGAAACUGCAUGAUCGGCUGAAUAAUUUGUAAAAAGAAGUGACAAACUGUAAUUUCUCUAUUUUGUGAUUUAUGUUUUCGUGAACAUUAUUGUAGCUAGAUGUUCCUUUAGUUUAUCAUUCACAUAUUGAAAUGAGAUAUUGCACAUGCUAGAAGAAAUAUGUAAUCCUCCUUCUGGUUCUUGGCAAAAUUUGAAGGUGAGUAGAAUUUUCUGAGUACGAACUUUGUUGUUGUUGUUUUUUUUUCUGGCAAUUAUAUUUAUCUUGUGAAAAACUGUUUCAGGAUUACAUGUGAAAAUCUAGGGAUGUUUUUUUUCUCAAGUUUCUUGUGAUGAUGAUGGUAAGUUAUUUUACUCAAUACAAUUUUUUUUACUAUAGAGAUGCUAAUGGCUCCGUGCAACCUUGUUAAUGGGGUUUAUAAACAUUUGUUACUAUAUUCAGGAACCUUUGGCAUAGUUAACUAUAGUAAUUGCUAAAACAUUAAUUAUGUUGUAAGUCACAGUUGUAUUCAUCUUCAAAAUGUUUGAGCUUCUGUGCAUCCAUGAAUUUUUCUAGUCAAUUUGGUAAUUUGUUGUCCUCUUGCUCAGAUCCGGAAAUUUGAUGAUCACGAUUUGAAGAAUCUUUCGACCAGAAUAAUAUCCGGGUAUUCUUUUAUAUUUUUUCUCUUCUUUGUCUGUUUUUCUUCUCUUUUAAGGGAUUAAAUUUUCAAAGAAUGUCGUUUCUUCUUUAUCAAAAAAAAAAAAAAAACCCAAAGCAAGCACUUGGAAUUCAGUUUCUAUUUCUAAUAUAGUGUUAGAAAUUACAUUUGUGCCUUUGUAACCUAUACAAUGCUCAAAUCUUGAACUUCUUACUUCUUAGAGGGAUUUAACUCUUACAGUAUCGUAAUUUUUACUACUAAAAUCUAAGAAUUCGUACAAUAAUAUCUUUACGAAAGUAACUAUCUUAUGAAAUAAUAAACUUUUUUCUUUGUAAAUCAAUAAAUUCAGGUAAAGGAAUACAAGCACAGCCCAUCAAGAAGGCCACGUAGGAG
rnacentral:lncRNA from 1 species